AGUGAACGCUGGCGGUAGGCCUAACACAUGCAAGUCGAACGGCAGCACAGUAAGAGCUUGCUCUUACGGGUGGCGAGUGGCGGACGGGUGAGGAAUACAUCGGAAUCUACUUUUUCGUGGGGGAUAACGUAGGGAAACUUACGCUAAUACCGCAUACGACCUACGGGUGAAAGCAGGGGAUCUUCGGACCUUGCGCGAUUGAAUGAGCCGAUGUCGGAUUAGCUAGUUGGCGGGGUAAAGGCCCACCAAGGCGACGAUCCGUAGCUGGUCUGAGAGGAUGAUCAGCCACACUGGAACUGGGACACGGUCCAGACUCCUACGGGAGGCAGCAGUGGGGAAUAUUGGACAAUGGGCGCAAGCCUGAUCCAGCCAUACCGCGUGGGUGAAGAGGGCCUUCGGGUUGUAAAGCCCUUUUGUUGGGAAAGAAAAGCAGCAGGUUAAUACCCCGCUGUUCUGACGGUACCCAAAGAAUAAGCACCGGCCAACUUCGUG
rnacentral:rRNA from 1 species